rnacentral:rRNA from 2 species
AACCCAGUGCAAUUCGUUGCACUAUCGUUAACUGAAUACAUAGGUUAACGAGGCGAACCGGGGGAACUGAAACAUCUAAGUACCCCGAGGAAAAGAAAUCAACCGAGAUUCCCCCAGUAGCGGCGAGCGAACGGGGAGCAGCCCAGAGUCUGAAUCAGCUUGUGUGUUAGUGGAACGGUCUGGAAAGUCCGACGGUACAGGGUGAUAGUCCCGUACACCAAAAUGCACAGGCUGUGAACUCGAAGAGUAGGGCGGGACACGUGGUAUCCUGUCUGAAUAUGGGGGGACCAUCCUCCAAGGCUAAAUACUCCUGACUGACCGAUAGUGAACCAGUACCGUGAGGGAAAGGCGAAAAGAACCCCGGCGAGGGGAGUGAAAAAGAACCUGAAACCGUGUACGUACAAGCAGUGGGAGCACCUUCGGGUGUGACUGCGUACCUUUUGUAUAAUGGGUCAGCGACUUAUAUUCUGUAGCAAGGUUAACCGUAUAGGGGAGCCGCAGGGAAACCGAGUCUUAACUGGGCGUUAAGUUGCAGGGUAUAGACCCGAAACCCGGUGAUCUAGCCAUGGGCAGGUUGAAGGUUGGGUAACACUAACUGGAGGACCGAACCGACUAAUGUUGAAAAAUUAGCGGAUGACUUGUGGCUGGGGGUGAAAGGCCAAUCAAACCGGGAGAUAGCUGGUUCUCCCCGAAAGCUAUUUAGGUAGCGCCUCGUGAAUUCAUCUUCGGGGGUAGAGCACUGUUUCGGCUAGGGGGUCAUCCCGACUUACCAACCCGAUGCAAACUACGAAUACCGAAGAAUGUUAUCACGGGAGACACACGGCGGGUGCUAACGUCCGUCGUGAAGAGGGAAACAACCCAGACCGCCAGCUAAGGUCCCAAAGUCAUGGUUAAGUGGGAAACGAUGUGGGAAGGCACAGACAGCCAGGAUGUUGGCUUAGAAGCAGCCAUCAUUUAAAGAAAGCGUAAUAGCUCACUGGUCGAGUCGGCCUGCGCGGAAGAUGUAACGGGGCUAAACCAUGCACCGAAGCUGCGGCAGCGACACUAUGUGUUGUUGGGUAGGGGAGCG